CCGGAAAGAAGUUGGAUCACGUUGUGCGGUCGGACGUUGCUGGAACGGCAACGGUCGGAGGAGUGUCUCCUUGGAGGGUGGACAAGCAGAAUGAUGAGCUGGCUACAACGGCUGGUCAGCGGUCCAAGUCCAACUUGGCAGGCCUGCAGUUGGACGGGUGGCUGCCAGGAGAAUGCUUUGUAGGGUCAGGAUCCGGGGACGAGGCACAGGCAUUGGUUGGUGUCGGCAGCAGUGGAAGCAGAAGCAGUCACAGUGGCGGGUAAAAGGAGCAGGAUGGCAGGCAUCCUGUUCACCAUCGAAC